UGGGGAAUAUUGCACAAUGGGCGCAAGCCUGAUGCAGCCAUGCCGCGUGUAUGAAGAAGGCCUUCGGGUUGUAAAGUACUUUCAGCGGGGAGGAAGGGAGUAAAGUUAAUACCUUUGCUCAUUGACGUUACCCGCAGAAGAAGCACCGGCUAACUCCGUGCCAGCAGCCGCGGUAAUACGGAGGGUGCAAGCGUUAAUCGGAAUUACUGGGGGUAAAGCGCACGCAGGCGGUUUGUUAAGUCAGAUGUGAAAUCCUCGGGCUCAACCUGGGAACUGCAUCUGAUACUGGCAAGCUUGAGUCUCGUAGAGGGGGGUAGAAUUCCAGGUGUAGCGAUGAAAUGCGUAGAGAUCUGGAGGAAUACCGGUGGCGAAGGCGGCCCCCUGGACGAAGACUGACGCUCAGGUGCGAAAGCGUGGGGAGCAAACAGG
rnacentral:rRNA from 1 species